rnacentral:sRNA from 1 species
AAGCAUGCGAGCCUCUCUAUGGCAUAGCAGCAGCUGUACAAGCGACUACCAAAGCUUGCCCUGAGAACCAUGGAGACCUUCAUUUUUAUGUGUGAAAAGCUAUAGUGUGCAAGGAUCUGCUUCAUGUCUAUGUCACCGGCUAGGCCAUCAGCUUCAUGGAGUCGGAGGCCACAGAUACUGCCUUUUCAUUGUUAUCUCCCGAUGUGAUGCAUUCACUCGGUUGGUAUGACAUCCUGGACUCAUUCUCCAGCAUCAGGAGAUGGAGACAGGAAGAUCAGAAGUUCAAGACCAUCCUCAGCCACACCUAGGUCAAGGCCGCUCUGGGCUUUGUGAGAUGGUGUCUGAAAAUAAAGAAAAAUUUAA